ACUUAAAUUGAAGAGUUUGAUCAUGGCUCAGAUUGAACGCUGGCGGCAGGCCUAACACAUGCAAGUCGAGCGGUAGCACAGAGAGCUUGCUCUCGGGUGACGAGCGGCGGACGGGUGAGUAAUGUCUGGGAAACUGCCUGAUGGAGGGGGAUAACUACUGGAAACGGUAGCUAAUACCGCAUAACGUCGCAAGACCAAAGUGGGGGACCUUCGGGCCUCAUGCCAUCAGAUGUGCCCAGAUGGGAUUAGCUAGUAGGUGGGGUAAUGGCUCACCUAGGCGACGAUCCCUA
rnacentral:rRNA from 1 species